UACGUAGGGGGGCAAGCGUUGUCCGGAAUCAUUGGGCGUAAAGCGCGUGUAGGCGGUUCGGUAAGUCCGCUCUGAAAGCCCGGGGCUCAACCCCGGGAGGCGGGUGGAUACUGUCGGACUAGAGUGCGGAAGAGGCGAGUGGAAUCCCGGUGUAGCGGUGAAAUGCGCAGAUAUCGGGAGGAACACCAAUUGCGAAGGCAGCCUCGCUGGGACGUUACUGACGCUGGAGACGCGAAAGCGUGGGGAGCAAACGGAUUGAGA
rnacentral:rRNA from 1 species